rnacentral:rRNA from 1 species
UACAGAGGUCCCAAGCGUUGUUCGGAUUCACUGGGCGUAAAGGGUGCGCAGGUGGGUUGGUAAGUUUGAUGUGAAAGCCCCGGGCUUAACCCGGGAAUGGCAUUGAAUACUACUGAUCUGGAGGGUUGGAGGGGGGACUGGAAUUCUCGGUGUAGCGGUGAAAUGCGUAGAUAUCGAGAGGAACACCUGCGGCGAAGGCGGGUUGCUGGGCUGACACUGACGCUGAUGCGCGAAAGCCAGGGGAGCGAACGGG